rnacentral:rRNA from 1 species
GACGAACGCUGGCGGCGUGCUUAACACAUGCAAGUCGAACGGACAGGCCCUGCUCUUGUGGGGUGCUCGAGUGGCGCACGGGUGAGUAACACGUGAGUAACCUGCCCUUGACUUUGGGAUAACUUCAGGAAACUGCGGCUCAUAUCGGAUAGGAGCUCCUGCUGCAUGGUGGGGGUUGGAAAGUUUCGGCGGUUGGGGAUGGACUCGCGGCUUCUCAGCUUGUUGGUGGAGUAGUGGCUUACCAAGGCUUUGACGGGUAGCCGGCCUGAGAGGGUGACCGGCCUCAUUGGGACUGAGAUACGGACCAGACGCGUACGGGAGGCAGCAGUGGGAAAUAUUACGCAACAAGCGGAAGCCUGAUGCAGCAACGCCGCGUGCGGGAUAACGUCCUUCGGGGUGUAAACCGCUUUCGCCUGUGACGAAGCGUGAGUGACGGUAAUUGGUAAAAAAGCAACGGCUAACUACGUG